UUUCCUCUCUCUUUUCUUUCCCUUCUCUUUCCUUUCUUCUCCUCUCUCUUUUCUUUCCCUUCUCUUUCCUUUCCUCUCUCUUUUCUUUCCUUUCUCUUUCCUUCUUCUCUUCU
rnacentral:lncRNA from 1 species